rnacentral:tRNA from 1 species
GGUAAGAUGGCCGAGUGCUUAGGCGGUGGGCUGUAGUUCCAUAAACAGGGGUUCAACUCCUCUUCUUAUCA